AGCACUCGUGUUUGUUUUUGUUUAUUUUGUGGACAAAGACACAGGCAGGUGCAAAAAGCAAACCCCCUUUUGCAACCCAGGGCUCAUCGUUCAGUAAGAGUUUGGCUACAUCUAAGAAGGAGCAUU
ensembl:snoRNA